GUACCUGUAGCGCAUCGGAUAGGGCGUUGGACUUCUAAUCCAAAGGUCGUGGGUUCGAAUCCCACCUGGGAUA